rnacentral:rRNA from 1 species
GAUCAUGGCUCAGGAUGAACGCUAGCUACAGGCUUAACACAUGCAAGUCGAGGGGCAGCAUUGGAGUAGCAAUACUCAGAUGGCGACCGGCGCACGGGUGAGUAACACGUAUCCAACCUGCCGCUUACUCGGGGAUAGCCUUUCGAAAGAAAGAUUAAUACCCGAUGGUAUAAAGAGUUCGCAUGUUCUCUUUAUUAAAGAAUUUCGGUAAGCGAUGGGGAUGCGUUCCAUUAGAUAGUUGGCGGGGUAACGGCCCACCAAGUCUACGAUGGAUAGGGGUUCUGAGAGGAAGGUCCCCCACAUUGGAACUGAGACACGGUCCAAACUCCUACGGGAGGCAGCAGUGAGGAAUAUUGGUCAAUGGACGAGAGUCUGAACCAGCCAAAAGUAGCGUGAAGGAUGACUGCCCUAUGGGUUGUAAACUUCUUUUAUAAGGGAAUAAAGUGAGGGACGUGUCCCUUUUUGUAUGUACCUUAUGAAUAAGGAUCGGCUAACUCCGUGCCAGCCGCUGC